rnacentral:rRNA from 1 species
GACGAACGCUGGCGGCGUGCUUAACACAUGCAAGUCGAACGGUGAAGGGAUCAGCUUGCUGGUUCUGGAUGAGUGGCGAACGGGUGAGUAACACGUGAGUAACUUGCCCCCUUCUUCUGGAUAACCGCAUGAAAGUGUGGCUAAUACGGGAUAUUCUGGGUCUGUCGCAUGGCGGGCCCGGGAAAGAUAUUGUUUCGGUGGGGGAUGGGCUCGCGGCCUAUCAGCUUGUUGGUGGGGUGAUGGCCUACCAAGGCGGUGACGGGUAGCCGGCCUGAGAGGGUGGACGGUCACACUGGGACUGAGACACGGCCCAGACUCCUACGGGAGGCAGCAGUGGGGAAUAUUGCACAAUGGGCGCAAGCCUGAUGCAGCGACGCCGCGUGAGGGAUGGAGGCCUUCGGGUUGUAAACCUCUUUCGCCAGUGAAGCAGGCCUGCUCCUUGUGGGUGGGUUGACGGUAGCUGGAUAAAAAGCGCCGGCUAACUAUGUGC